UACGUAGGUGGCAAGCGUUGUCCGGAAUUAUUGGGCGUAAGCGCGCGCAGGCGGCCUCUUAAGUCUGAUGUGAAAGCCCCCGGCUCAACCGGGGAGGGCCAUUGGAAACUGGGAGGCUUGAGUAUAGGAGAGAAGAGUGGAAUUCCACGUGUAGCGGUGAAAUGCGUAGAGAUGUGGAGGAACACCAGUGGCGAAGGCGACUCUUUGGCCUAUAACUGACGCUGAGGCGCGAAAGCGUGGGGAGCAAACAGG
rnacentral:rRNA from 1 species